GUGGGGAAUUUUGGACAAUGGGCGCAAGCCUGAUCCAGCAAUGCCGCGUGCAGGAAGAAGGCCUUCGGGUUGUAAACUGCUUUUGUACGGAACGAAACGGUCCUGGUUAAUACCUGGGGCUAAUGACGGUACCGUAAGAAUAAGCACCGGCUAACUACGUGCCAGCAGCCGCGGUAAUACGUAGGGUGCGAGCGUUAAUCGGAAUUACUGGGCGUAAAGCGUGCGCAGGCGGUGCUGUAAGACAGGCGUGAAAUCCCCGGGCUCAACCUGGGAAUUGCGCUUGUGACUGCAGUGCUGGAGUACGGCAGAGGGGGAUGGAAUUCCGCGUGUAGCAGUGAAAUGCGUAGAUAUGCGGAGGAACACCGAUGGCGAAGGCAAUCCCCUGGGCCUGUACUGACGCUCAUGCACGAAAGCGUGGGGAGCAAACAGGAUUAGAUACCCGAGUAGUCC
rnacentral:rRNA from 1 species